rnacentral:rRNA from 1 species
CCUACGGAGGCAGCAGUGGGGAAUCUUGCACAAUGGAGGAAACUCUGAUGCAGCGAUGCCGCGUGAGUGAAGAAGGCCUUUGGGUUGUAAAGCUCUUUUGUAGGGGAAGAUAAUGACUGUACCCUAAGAAUAAGGUCCGGCUAGCUUCGUGCCAGCAGCCGCGGUAAUACGAAGGGACCUAGCGUAGUUCGGAAUUACUGGGCGUAAAGCGCGCGUAGGCCGUUGAGUUAGUUAAUUGUGAAAUCCCAAAGCUUAACUUUGGAACUGCAAUUAAAACUGCUCGACUAGAGUUUGAUAGAGGAAAGCGGAAUACAUAGUGUAGAGGUGAAAUUCGUAGAUAUUAUGUAGAACACCAGUUGCGAAGGCGGCUUUCUGGAUCAACACUGACGCUGAGGCGCGAAAGUAUGGGUAGCAAAGAGGAUUAGAUACCCUCGUAGUCCAUACCAUAAACGAUGAUUGCUAGAUGUUGGAAAUUUAUUUUCAGUAUCGCAGCUAACGCAUUAAGCAAUCCGCCUGGGGAGUACGACCGCAAGGUUAAAACUCAAAGGAAUUGACGG